CAGGGCGCGUCUUGGCUGAGAACAGACCCGCAAAACCUGAUCCGGGUAAUGCCGGCGGAGGAAGCAGAUGAACA
rnacentral:ncRNA from 1 species